rnacentral:rRNA from 1 species
UACCUGCAGCUCGAGUGGUAACCGCUAUUAUUGGGCCUAAAGCGUCCGUAGCCGGUUUGGUAAAUAUCUGGGUAAAUCGUGAGGCUUAACUUCACGAAUUUCGGAUAGACUGCCAGACUUGGGAUCGGGGGAGGUCAGAGGUACUCCAGGGGUAGCGGUGAAAUGUUGUAAUCCUUGGAGGACCACCGGUAGCGAAGGCGUCCGACUAGAACGAGUCCGACGGUGAGGGACGAAGCCCUGGGGCGCAAACCGGAUUAGAUACCCGGGUAGUCCAGGGUGUAAACGAUGUGGGCUUUGUAUUGGAGGUCCCACGUGGGCGUCCAGUGCAGAAGAGAAGUUGUUAAGCCCACCGCCUGGGAAGUACGGUCGCAAGGCUGAACUUAAAGGAAUUGGCGGGGGAGCACAGCAACGGGAGGAGCGUGCGGUUU